UUAGACUCUCAUAUGGACAGUGGAUCUCUUGGGACAACUGGCUGAAAGUCUCUCUCUGUCUCUACUGUUACUCUUGGCUGUGUGUGAGUGGCUGAGUAGGUUGCUGCUCUGCUGUGUCUCCAGAGUGAUUUGUCAGGUUUGCAGGGAGGAGAGACAGGGGGAGAGAGGGGGAGACAACUCCGGUAGCAGGCAGGCAGCAGUUACCAGCCAGCUGGCUGGGUGUGUUAACUCCACAGCUGACCUCUAUGGGAACAGAGCAGCCUCCACUCCUCUCCUCCUGGCAGGCUGUGGGAACAAGGGUGGACAGAUCUUCAUUUUUACCCCUCACUCGGCUUCUCGCUGGGCUGUCGAGCUCAGGGAACCAACCCUGAACAGAGCAGGACAUGACAGGACAGGACAGCUUUGGCAGGGAGACCUCAGCGGGAGACCUCGGCUCUGAGGAUUGCACUGCCGACUGAUUCUUGGAUCUGAAAUGGCACAGUGAAAUGGUCUGGUUGCCAGUCAUGGCAGCCAUGCAGUUGUCAAGUCAGUCAUUAGGCAGUCAGAUGGUUAGUUAGUCAGCCAGCAGAUCGGUCAGCGGGGUCCUUCCCAAAGGGUCAACUCUUCCACUUUGUGCAUAUCCUCAUCCGAACUCUGAGGUGACUCAGACCUCCCGAGUAGCAAAGGCGGACCUGUGGGCAUGGUCACAGGUGCUUCACAGCUGCUAUGGAAGAAAGCAUCUGAAAUCCAGGAGGAUGUUGGAGAAGAUACAGUGGGCAGGGAAGGGCAGAGAGGUGCAGAGUGGAUCCAGCCUCUGCACCGGCUGUGGUGGGGAGGGUUCCUGGCACCGUGAUUUGAUGCACAAAGAGAAACAAAAAUCACAUUGCCAGGGAUUUCCACUCCUUCACAGCUCAGCAGAUGACCCGGCCGCAUCAUUAUAUUUCCACUGUGGGAUGCUUUUGUCUUUAGUCUCCUUCGCUGUUCUGUUUUUUCAGUUGAUAUCUGAUUCGGGAUGUUGCUAUGGAGUCAAAGGAAUAAAUAUUGGAGAGGUUAGACGGAUAUUGUGAUCAACUCUCUCAGUGGACUUCAAGAGGUUAAGUUGUGGGAUCAGACUGUCACACGGAAAACUGCGAAAGAAUACGUCUCCCUUAAAAAGUGUCAAAAUGCAUUUGAGGCUGCAGUUAAAUGCGCAGCUGUCUGGAAUUUAUACUGUCUUCACUGUUCUGUCCUUUUAAAUCAGCCAGGGAGUCAAUGUUAAUGCAUAUGAGAGCCACACAGCAUCACACCAUAGAGCACAUUUUUGCAGGGAGAUCACGUUUCAGCUCUUGGAUUUUAAAUUUAUAAACAAGGAGACAAUUUUGAUGUUUAAAAUUAAGACUAGGAUCCUCCGCUGGCAGCACAUUGACACGCCAUAUGAGUGAGCCCUAUUGAGGGCGAAGCAAUCCUCAGCGACAUAAGCACUGCAGACUGACUUUGUAACCCACCAAACUUCACCACUGAGCAGUCACAUAAAGGUCUGCAUGAGUCUCUGUUUCCUCAAAAGCCAGCCACCCACUUGCUAAAGGCACAGAGCUUAGCUAAUUGGUGAGCAUUGAUCCCUGCUAUGUGUUGUUCACAGUGGCUAAGUUCAGUGCCUGAGGUGAAAUAGUUGAUUCGACGGAGGGGAUUUGUUCCGGUGAAUGGAAAGAACCUGAUGAUCUCGGAUAUGAAGAAAGGAGGAGGGAGAAGGAGAGUGAGAAAAGUGACGAGACAUUAGGUGGAGAAAGAGGGAGGGAGGCUGGGAUGUGAGAGGACAGAGAGACUGAAGGUCUUACGUGGAGUUAAAUGUGUUUCUGUGGACCAAAUGUAGGUCUUGAUUGUGCAAUACAGUUCAUACGUGAGACGAGCUGUGUAUUUUUUUUUUUUGUUUGCCUGAAGCAACAACUGUCUUAUCUAACCUUAUGCAUCUGGAAAGAAUUAUCAUGCAUGCCAAAUAUAUUUGAAAGCAUUUUAAUGAGACAGUUUGACCCAGGUUUAAUGUGGACUUAAAAAUGCCACAGGUUGCAUUGAGAUUUUAGGAAUGUGGUGCUAAAUGUCAGCUCUGCGUGAGCAUGCCCAGGUUAUAUCCAACUAAGUUAGCUCAGGACCAGUAUGUCAGUGCCAUACGGCAGCCUGGACUCACGUGUUAUAGAGGAACCCUGCAUACACUUGGACAGUAACCUUAGCCAAUUAGUAAAAUAUAUUAAGUUGCCAAUGAAUGGACAAAUGGAUAAACUUUUUUUUUUUUUUUUUUUUACAAGAUUAUAGUUUUAAAAGGAGUCACAUGGACACAUAAAAAGUCAGCUGAAAACCAGUUUGGAAUGGAACUAAUGUUUAGCUUAAUUAGCUAGGUGGCUAAUUAAGUUGAUCAAAUCUGCACUGUGGCAGUUGUCAUCUGGUUGUCAGCAAGAAAUUAUAAGUCUGCUUUUGUAAGUCUCUGUCUGAAAUCAAGGAACCAUUGUUAUAAAAAUUACUAAGAAUUUCAAGUUUGUCACGAUUCUCAUUGUAAGCCGUUUCUGUGCAGUGCAAGGUCUAGCGGCAGUAAUUGAAGGGAAGACAGGGCAUAACGGUCAAUUUACCCUGCCAGAGGUUGUUGUCUUGUUUGUUGUCACAGCUCUUACACUGCAUGUUACAUACCAUGUAAUCUUUUUUGUUGGAUUAAAAAAUGCCUUCUGUUUUAGCAUGCAGACGGCACCCUGCAUUGUCAAAUGAUGUCUGGGCUGUGCCCUCCC